CUUCCCCUCCCUUACUCCAGCCACCCCAGUGGAGUGGCCUGGCAUUAACAGGGGAUACAGAAACACGGCUCGCUCACGUCUCCAUGCCGGGACCGUUAUCCCACGUGAGGUUGUGAGAGACCGGACACU
ensembl:snoRNA small nucleolar RNA SNORA49